GACGAACGCUGGCGGCGUGCUUAACACAUGCAAGUCGAACGGAAAGGCCCUGCUUUUGUGGGGUGCUCGAGUGGCGAACGGGUGAGUAACACGUGAGUAACCUGCCCUUGACUUUGGGAUAACUUCAGGAAACUGGGGCUAAUACCGGAUAGGAGCUCCUGCUGCAUGGUGGGGGUUGGAAAGUUUCGGCGGUUGGGGAUGGACUCGCGGCUUAUCAGCUUGUUGGUGGGGUAGUGGCUUACCAAGGCUUUGACGGGUAGCCGGCCUGAGAGGGUGACCGGCCACAUUGGGACUGAGAUACGGCCCAGACUGCUACGGGAGGCAGCAGUGGGGAAUAUUGCACAAUGGGCGGAAGCCUGAUGCAGCAACGCCGCGUGCGGGAUGACGGCCUUCGGGUUGUAAACCGUUUUCGCCUGUGACGAAGCGUGAGUGACGGUAAUGGGUAAAGAAGCACCGGCUAACUACGUG
rnacentral:rRNA from 1 species